AGCUUUGCGCAGUGGCAGUAUCGUAGCCAAUGAGGUUUAUCCGAGGCGCGAUUAUUGCUAAUUGAAAAGAGAGCAGAGUGAUGGUUAUGACAUAAGUCAGACCAUUUUACUCCAGUACUCAAAGACUUUCAGUGUUUCUCACUUUUACCCAGAUUUAAACUAAAGGUUUUGGAAUGGCCCACAAGACC
rnacentral:snRNA from 1 species